AACGCACCUUGCGCCCCUUGGCAUUCCGAGGGGCACACCCGUUUGAGUGUCGUGAAAUCCUCAAAACCCCCUUCUUUGAUCUUUUUUGAUCGAGGGAAGGGAUUUUGGACUUGGAGGGUCACUGCUGGCUUUCACUUUUGAAAAGCGAGCUCCUCCUAAAGGAAUUAGUGGGGUUUGCUUUGUCGAUCCUUGACGUGAUAAGAUGUUUCUACGUUUUGGGUUUGGCACCGUAGCCUGCUUCUAACCGUCCGACGGACGACCAUGGUGCUCUGGUCACCACCAUCUCACUGGUGUUGGGAGGCUGGACCCAUGAAAUAAAAACCUUGACCUCAAAUCGGGUGAGACUACCCGCUGAACUUAA
rnacentral:misc_RNA from 1 species